rnacentral:lncRNA from 1 species
CUCACUUAUGGGGCUGGAGCCAUCUCACUUAUGGGGCUGGGGAAUGAAGCUAUCUCACUUAUGGGGCUGGAGCCAUCUCACUUAUGGGGCUGGGAGGGGAAGGGGACUGAGCACAUCUCACUUAUGGGGCUGGGAACUAAAACCAUCUCACUUAUGGGGCUGAACCCUUCUCACUUAUGGGGCUGGGAGCCAUCACUUAUGGGGCUGGAAGAGGGAUGGGGACUGACAGGAUCUCACUUAUGGGGCUGGGAGAGGAUGGGGACCAAACCCAGGUCACUUAUGGGGCAGGGACUGAACCCAUGUCACUAUGGGCCGAACCCAGGUCACUUAUGGGGCUGGGACUAACAGGACCUCACUUAUGGGGCUGGGAGAGGGACGGGGACUGAACCCAUAUCAACUUAUGGGCCGAACCCAGGUCACUUAUGGGGCUGGGAUGGGCUGAGAACCGAACCCGGAUCACUUAUGGGGCCGAACAGAAGGCAGGACGGCGAAACCCUUCUCACUCUGGAUCUGGACGCCGUCAAUUAUGGGGCAGAGCCGUACCUUAUGGGGCAGGCGCCAUCCACG